rnacentral:lncRNA from 1 species
AGCAGUCUCAUGUACAACAGCCAAUGGCAAGAGAAAUUUCUUGGUUUAGGCUUACUCUCAAUGAGGUUGAGAACCAAUUAGGUGAUUUAGGUAAACCAUUGGGCAGCAUGAACCUUGAUGAGUUGCUUAAGAAUGUUUGGAAGGCAGAGGCAAGCCAUUCUUCUGGAAUGGACCCAACUAGCGCUUCCCCUGCGGCCUCGCUCCAGCGCCAGGCUAGCCUGUCACUUGUGAGGACGUUGAGGGGGAAGACAGUUGAUGAGGUGUGGAAGGAUAUCCAGCAACGACAAAUGACUAGGUACACGGAAGAAAUGAUUAGCCACGAACGGGAGCCAACUCUUGGGGAGACCACUCUGGAGGAUUUCUUG